UUCGAGCACAUGUGGGACACAUUUACAGUACUUCGGACGGUUUCACGCUUUUCCACUGAUCAGCAGCAGGUGAAGCUAAUGCAUCAAGAUAUGUAGUUUGCACCGGGUAACUGGCUAAUAUGAAAGCCUCUACAAGCAUAUGUCCUGCCUUCAACUAUGUUACAUUAUCUCCUUGCCAAGGCCUCAGAUACACAGCACUGCCUGUCUCAAAAGGAAGCUCUCAAUCAACUAACUCCUGUCCAAUCUGUGGCACCUGAUCCACCAACAAAAGGCCCUUCCUCUGCCUACCACACUCUCUUUGGGCCUUUCCGAAAUUAGACCCUCGCCACUUCCACUCUGACACGAAGUGAACUCUGGUCGGAGUCAACCUCCAGACCAGCGACAACCUUGAGACAAACUACCCUCUCCCCCCAGAGGUCCACCAUUGCUUUGGUUUCUGGACAUGCUGUUUUAGCUGACUACCAAUGAGUAAUGGCUAAAAUACACCAUCAGUCCCACCUUCAUCGAAACGGUGAAUGUCUUAGCUAAGCAGAAGCAGUGUUUUCUAACAACAACAAUUUCACCCGGACAGCCUGGGGUUUUUGUUCUUAAUAAAAAAGGACAGAUAAAAGUUCAUGUCCACCAAAUUGUGUUAAGUGUAUCAAAUCAAUGUCAGACAUAAAAUACCAACAUGUGUGGGAAAUUGAUAGCAAAUAAAUACCAUGUAAACAAAA